AUGUUUUUUUUUUUUGAGCCAUUUUGGUUCCGGACUCCAACUUUUUUAUCCCAGUUUGUUUUGGUCUUGUUCGUUUCCUCAUUAGCCUUCUGAUUUCCCUCUAUUUACAUAUCGAUUGUUUGUUUGUAGCUUUGGGUGUUCGCAGUGUUUGAUCAAGGUCUCGAUAAUUAGCAGUUUGUCCCAUUGAUCGAUGGGUUUGGUUUUGAUUUCUUGGCUAUAUGUUAUAUAAAUCUCAUAUUCCUACCCUCAAUUGUUAGUUUAUUUGUCUUUUAUUUUCUGUAUUUAAUAUGGGGUGUAGUGUAGGUCUCUGAUUUCCAAUUCUUUUUCAAAGUUAAGCUCAGGACUACGAUUCAACCAGGAGCGAUUAGGGUAUGGGAGUUCUUGCUUUUUUUUUUCUUUGAGAUACAGUUUGCAAUUAGUUCUAUUCCUUUUACGAUUCGUUGAUUCGUCAUUGUUGUUUGUAUGUCGACGUUGCCAGUGUUUGAUAAGGUGUUCCAUAGGAAAAUAAUUAUAGGUACCUUUGAGAUGUUCAUAUCUUUGCUUUCCUUCCAUGGUGUAGUUUACUCCCUCCGUCCCGAUCUUACGUGGCAUACUUGGUUUAAGAAAGAAAGGAAGAUUUAAAGUUUGUGGUCCAAGACAAGCCUUAGAUCUUUGUGUGUGUGGCUAUGAAUCAUAAAGUUAUAUUGUUUUUAUAUAUGGAAAGUUUUUGGGACAAACUAAAAAAGAAACUGUGCCACAUAAAUUGGGACGGAUUUAUAUUGUUCCCAUCCUUGACCACCAUUUUCUUGUGUAUUAUAGUGUGUGAGUUUCUAAUUGCAAUCCUUUGAUUGAUUUUCAAUGUUAAGAAAUUGGAAGCUGGUAAGGUCCAUUCUAGAUGCAAUUCUGAGGGAAUCAAGUUUGCUUCCAGGUUUUGGGCAGUUCUGAGGUUUUUUGUUGCGAGAUUCCUCUAUGAAAUUAGUUUUGUGUUUAAGUUUCGUCUUGAUGAUUGGAGAUGAUGUUGCUACUUUGGUUUACGUGAGAUCAUUCUAUUUCCUUUUGUUGAAUCAGAAUACGAGUAGAGUUGGAAAUUUGGCUCCCCAUGGUGACUUGGAUCUUCAGAUGAAUGAUAUUAUAGACAUGUGUGACACAAGCAGUAAUCAACCACAGUCACUUUGGAUUCGAUAUCUUGACUUCCAUCUUUAUGCUUAACUUUGAUGCAAGUAUUGUUUUACUCCUCGCAUCAUACUUGUUUUACCUUCUUAUUUGGUUUGGUCAUCAGUGGAUUUCAUUCUUAGGUGUGGCAUCAGUUGUCAAGAAUACAUGGAUGGGAUUUUGACUAUAGGUAUUGGAAUAUGUGGUUCUUCAGGAAUAAGUGUCUUGCUUCGGUGUUUGUGGUCGGGAGGAUGCCAGGAGUUCCCAGGUCUUUGACUAUAGGUAUUGGAUAUUUCGGUCUCUCAAAGCUUUAUCAAAACUGCUGCUAUAUGGAAGUUCACAACUAAGAUAAUUCUUUUCACAAGUGUGUAUAGUGUGUUCUGCUUCCAUUAGUUUUUGGUUCAGAUGCUUAUUUCUUUGAUAGUCCGACUGAUAAGUACUCAAAAGUCAAUUCUCUCUGAUAGCCGUAAAGUGCUUCUCUGCUCUUUGUUUUCUAGCUACUUAUCUUCUAUCUGCUUCUGUUCUCUCUUGGUUAUCAUGCCAGCUUGAUUUUGUUUGUUGGUUGGAUGUAUCGACCAUGGUGACAUUAAUAGAGGAUUAGAUUUGGAAACUUGUAUCCAUUAUGCAUUCCUGUGAACCCAAUCUGGAUAUUAUCAGGCUUUGACCAAGAAUGGGGUUUUCAAUAUCGUCUAUCUCUACUGAUUUCUUGGUAUGGGUAGCUCUUUCCCUUUUUCUGUGCUUGCUGCUGUUGGGUCUUACAGAGCAGUGAAUUAUUCUUUCCAUGGAGUGACCUUGUUUGUCCAUUUGUGUUGAGGUUUCUUUAGUUAAGGUUCUGCUGUAUGGUUAAAUCCCAACUAAAAUAGUUUUGUUCUCUCACUAAUGUGUGUUGUAUUCUGCUGCCUUUUUUAGUUUUUAGUCAAGAUGCUUAUGUUCUUCAAUGAUCCAACUGAUGAGAUUCCUGAUGAUUGAUGGUUAUGGUCUUAUGGACACCUGGUGACUACUGAAAACUCAAUUCUGGAUCGUUUGAAAGCCCCAUGAAGUGGUCCUCUCUUUUGGUGUUUAGAUUUCGGUCUUCCAUAUCUUGAUUUCCUUUGCUUGGUAGUUUAUUUGUUUCCGAGAUCCCACUUGUGGGAUUACACUGGGUAUGUUGUUGGUAGUUUAUUUGUUUCAUUUUUGUCUUGUAUUUUAUAUGGGAUGUAGGUUUCGGAGCCACAAUUUUCUGUUGAGAAGCUAAGCUUGGAAUGAGCGAUUCAAGCGGGAGCAUUUAGGGGGAGUUCUUGAUUUUUUGUUUUGACAUUCAGUUCGCAAUAAGUUCUGUUUCCUUUUUGUGUGACGUUCGGUUCGCGGUUGAGAAUUUGAGUUCUGGUGGGAGAUUACGGUUCGAGGUUCUUUAUUAGUUUUGCUUCUCUUUGAGAAUCAGAGAUUUUUUAUUGACAUGUUGUCGGUGUUCGCAGCCUUUGAUCAAGGUCUGGAUAAUGAUUAUAGAGACCAUUUGGUGUUAUGAUUUUACAUGAUUCUCGUUGGAGUAUUUUGGAACAUGAGGUGAUUCCUUCUUUUGGGAUGUAGGGGUUUGAUUGGUGGAAUAAUCAGUUUGGUUUUGAUUUCUUGGCUAUCAGUUAUAUAUAUCUCAUCCGACCCUCAACUGUUAGUUUAUUUAUUUCAUCUUUAUUUGUUUUUUAUUUUCUGUAUUUAAUAUGCGGUGUAGGUCUCUGAUAUCCAAUUCUUUAUCGUCUCUGUUGAGAAGUUAAGCUCUGGACUACGAUUCAAGUGGGGAGCAAUUAGGGUUUGGGAGUUUUUUUUUGUUUUUUUUGGUGACAUUCAAUUCGCAAUUAGUUAUUUUUCUUUUUUCCGAUAGUGACUGCUGUUUGUUUGUCAACGUUGCCAAUGUUUGAUCAGGUCUGGGUAAUGAGCAUAGGAGAAUGAUUUUAGGUACCUUCCAGUGGUUUUGUGAUGCUCUCUCUUUCGUGAAAUCUUCUCAUGGAAUUGCAGCCUUUACCUUCACCCACUACCCUUUAUAAAGAGCCUUUGAGGAUUUACCUUGGUUUCAAUGUUCAUAUCCUUGCUUUCCUUCCAUGUGUAGUUUAUUUAUUUGUUUUGUUCUCAUCCUCGUGUAUUUCUGUUUUGUUGAAUCAGAAUACAAGUAACAGGAAAUUUUGCCCCGUGUGCCGUCCAAAUAUGAAUUGAGUCCGUCAUCUAUGCUAGCCUGCUAUGUAUAACAAGCAGGCUCAACCAUAGGGUGAAAGCUAUCAGUUUGGAUUUGAUAUCUUGACUUUCAUCUUUUUGCUAAUUUUGAUGCUAAUAUUAUUAGUAAUGUUUUAUCCCUGGCACCACUUCUUUUACCUUCUGUUUUGGUUCAUUCAUCAGUGAGUUCCAUUCUUAGGUAUGGUGCCAGUUGUUGGUGUGAAAGUGUUCUACAGGAGUUAGUGGUCUUUGAAGUAUUGGAUAUUUCGGUCUUGAAGUUGUCAUAACUGCUUCUAUAUGGAUGUUCUCAACUAAAAUGAUUCUUUUCACAAGUGUGUAUCGUGUGUUCUGCUACCAUUUUUAGUUUUCAGUUCAGAUGCUUACGUUCUUUGAAGGUCCAAUUGAUGAGGUCUCUUGUGGUUAUGGAUACCGGAUGUGGUCAAAAGUCAAUUCUGGAUCUUUUAUAGCACCAUAGAGUGCUCCUCUUCUUUCAAUUUUCAAGCUACUUAUCAUCCCUCUGCUUCCGGCUUCUUUUGGUUAUCACACCAGCUUGGUCUACACGGUGACAGAGGAUUUGAUUAGGAAACAUCAAAGGUUCGUAUGCAGUAUGCGUUCCUGUGCACCCUGUAUCUUGGUUUUUUGGGUGCUUGGCAAUCUGGAUAUUGUGAGGCUUCGAGAAAAAGGGGGUUUCCAAUAUCUUGUCUCUGACAUGUCUAGUGAUUUCUUAGGUGGUAUGGGUUCGUCGGAUUUGUGCUUAACUGUUUCCUUCUGUGCUUGCUGCCAAUGAAUCUUACAGAGCUUUCACCGUGUGGCCUUGUUUGUCCAUUUGUGUUGAGGUUUCUUUAGUUCAGGAUGUUUAUGAGUACGAGUUGCUCAAUCCAGUUGUCUUCCCUAAUCAGAUUGGAGUUCUUAGCUAAAAUACUUUUUCUCACUGUGUGCACAUGCCGCUGCCAUUUGUAGGUUAGUUCUGAUGGUUAUGCUCUUCCGUGAUCCAACUGAUGGGGUCCCUGAUGGUUAUGGACACCUGAUAAGCACUCAAAACUUGAUAAGCACUCAAAACUUGAGGAUAUUUUGAUAGCCCUGUAAAGGGCUCCUCUAUUUUGGUGUUGUCGCUGCUUAUCUGCUCUGCUUCUGCUUUCUUUUAUGUAUCACACCAGCUUGAUUUGUUUGCUGGGUAGAUGUGGUGAGAGUUAAGAAGAUUAUAUUUGGAUAUUUGCAAGGUUACGUUCCUGUGCACCCCGUUUCCUAGUCAUUUUUAUGCUUGCACUGCAAUCUGGAUAUUAUCAGGUUUCGAGAGACGGGUUUUGUCAAUCUUGUCUGGCAUUUUCUAGUGAUUUCCUAGGUUGUAUAGGCUUCUCCAGCUUUGCACUUAACUGUUCCCUUCUUUCGGUUGCUUAAAGCUGUUGGGUCUUACAGCAGUGAAUCCUUCUUUGUCAAUUUUUGUUGAGGUUUCUUUAAUUAAUGCUUUUAAUGAUUAUCAAGAUUUUAAAUUCAGUUUUCUUCCCUAAUCAGAGGGGUUCCCUUUUGUCUCUGUCAAUACUGCUGUUUAUAUGGAAUCCUCAUCUAAUUUUUUUUUCCACUAGUGUGUGUUGUAUUCUGUUGCCAUCUUUAUUUUUUUGUCCAGAUGCUUAUGUUGUUGGUGAUUCAACUGAUGAGAUCCCUGAUGGUUAUGGACCAUAUGAUAAGUACUCUAACUCAAUUAGCUUUGGAUUUUUUGAUCGCCUGUAAGACACCCUAUAUUUGGUGUUCUCUCUUACUUAUCUUCUCUGCUUCCGCUUUCUUUUGUUUAGCAUGCCGGUUGAUUUUGUUUGGUUGGAUGGAUGUUUGUAAACCAUAGAUGGUUUGAUAUGGAAAUUUUGAAGUUCAGUACUUUGGUUUCAGUGUGCGUCGGGAAAAGGGAGUUGCCCUGUCUUGUCUGUCGCCUCCAGUGAUCUCCUGGGUGGUAUGGGUUUUGCGAGCUUUUCACUCAACACUUCCCUUCUUUCUGCGCUUGCAGCUUCAUUAAUUCUUCUUCUCAUUGAGCGACCUUGUUUGGAGUUUUUCUUUAGUUCAGUCGUUUAUGAUUUUCGAGAUUUUCAAUUCAGUUUUCUUCCUUGAUGGCUCCCUUUUCUCUUUGUCCAAACUACUUUUGUAUGGAAGUUUAACUAAGAUAAUAUUGUUCAAGCUAAUAACGUUCACUAGUGUGUUGUAUUCUGCUGGCAUGAAGUUUUUAGUCCAGAUGCGUAUGUUCUUCGAUCAUCCAACCGAUGAGGUCGCUCAUAUGGUUAUGGACACCUAAUAUGACUCGGUCAAUUUUGGAUCUUUUGAUAGUGCUAUAACGUGCUCAUACUUUUGGUCUUCUAGCUACUUAUCUUCUCCAUUUUCUUUUGGUUAUCACACGACUUGUUUGUUCUUUUUUGUUGGAUGGAACAGAGGUGAAGAUUUGGAAAUUUCAAAGCUUGGGAUCCAUUAUGCGUUCCUCUGCACCCUCUGGGUCUUUUUGGUGCUUGCACUGCAAUCUAGAUAUUAUCAGGGCUUCAACAAAAAGCGGGUAAAACGGGCCAUUGGGUUCUACAGAGGUGUGUCUUGGAGCGGCCUUGUUUGUCCAUUUGUGUUGAGGUUUCUGUUCAGUCUUUUAUGCGCGUCAAGAUUUUCAAUUCAGUUUUUCUUGCCUAAUAGCUCCUUUUUCUAUUGUCAAAACUACUAUUGUAUGGAGUUUCUCAACUAAGAUAAUAUCUUUCACCGUUGUGUUGUA